AUGUCUCUGUGUCUUGCACGUCUCAUUAUUUUCAAGAGCUUUUCUUCAAAUACCCGCUGUGUUGGCUGCAGAACACCCAGGUCUAACAAGCCUCUGCCAUGGAUAUUUCUUUACUUGAGUGUCUCCAUCUCCUUCCACUCUCAUAUGGACACAAGGAGAGCAUCCAGCCGUGAAAAGAGAAAGCACGUGAAAAGCUGAAAACUUCGUCUCAAGUUUACUUUCAGGGCCAUGAUUGUGCAAGUGACGGAAUUGCUGAGGACCGGGGACAGUGAAGCAGCACAGAAAUCACAAACAGGAGAUCAGUUCAUCCCCAGGAACGACGCAGGAGGAGGAGUUGACACGUGGAAGCUCCACCUGGGAGCUGAGCUGCAGGACUAAGCCACAGCAGCAGUGCCAUCGUGAGUCAGCGCGGGUCAGCGCAGGUCAGCCUCCCAUCACUGUGACAAACGCCUGAGGUACGUGUGCUCCAAUGAAGAGAGGGUUAUUUUGACUCUCAGUUUUGGGAGCUCUCACCCGUGGUUGGGCGUCUCUGAGGCUUUGGGCCUGUGGCGAGGCAGAGCAUCAUGGUGGGAUCAUGUGUGGAGCAAAGCUGUUCACCCAGUGGCUGGGUACUGGAGGGAGAGAAAGAGAGAGAGAGAGAGAGAGAGAGAGGGAGAUAGAGGACCCACGGUCCCCCUCAAGGCAUAGCCCCCCAGUGACCUAAGACCUCCUAAAGGUUCCACCACCUCCAGCACUGCCCUGGGGACCAAGCCUUCAUCAUUCUGGGUUUUGGGGACUUUCCAGCCUCCACCAUGACAGCAUCUGAGGUGGACAAGGAAGGAAUGCCUGGCUUCUCCCCUGCCCGCUCCUGGCCUUAGUGAAUCCAGCAGGUGCAGCUGGCCAGGGAAGCCAGUCUGCUGGGCUCAGCCCACUGUCCCACCUGUGACCUGAAGACCAGCUCCCCGGGUGGCACUGAGACCCCAUUUACCUCAUCCAGCUCUGCAUCUGGACCUUCAAGGACAGCCUGGCACAUGGUAGGUCCUCAGUAAAGAGGGAACAAGGAGACUAGGGCUCCUGGGUCAUCUUGUCACACACUGAAAGCUCCUCGAAGUCCACCAAGUGACUCAAGUGUCCUGAGGGGUCCGAGGAGUGUCAGGUCCACAGAGGGAGGUGCUCUGUGGCCCUGGAGCUCUGCUUGGCCAGGACUGAGAUGAGGUUC
rnacentral:lncRNA from 1 species